rnacentral:tRNA from 1 species
UGCCGCUUAGCUCAGGAGUAGAGCAGUCGGUUGAUAACCGACAGGCCGCUGGUGCGAAUCCAGCAGCGGCGACCA